UGAGGAAUAUUGGUCAAUGGGCGAGAGCCUGAACCAGCCAAGUAGCGUGCAGGAUGACGGCCCUAUGGGUUGUAAACUGCUUUUACGCGGGGAUAAAGUGCGUGACGUGUCGCGCAUCGCAGGUACCGCGUGAAUAAGGACCGGCUAAUUCCGUGCCAGCAGCCGCGGUAAUACGGAAGGUCCGGGCGUUAUCCGGAUUUAUUGGGUUUAAAGGGAGCGCAGGCCGCCCGAUAAGCGUGUUGUGAAAUGUACCGGCUCAACCGGUGAGUUGCAGCGCGAACUGUCAGGCUUGAGUGCACGGUAAGCAGGCGGAAUUCAUGGUGUAGCGGUGAAAUGCUUAGAUAUCAUGAAGAACUCCGAUUGCGAAGGCAGCUUACGGGAGCGCAACUGACGCUGAAGCUCGAAGGUGCGGGUAUCGAACAGG
rnacentral:rRNA from 1 species